UUUUAUAUCCAUAAUAAUGCUUUUCUCAAAAGUCUAUUUUGUCUGCUAUAAACUUAAUAAAAUAUAUAUAAAAUAAAGUCAUCCCAACUUUACUUCAAACAUUUUCAUGUCCUUGUACAUCAGGAGGAAGCCAGUCACCAUGUCAUGAGGACAUUCAAACAUCCCUAUGGAGAAGUUUACACAUCAAGGCACUGCGACCUCUUGAUAAAAAACAGAACCAACUUACCAGCCUAUGAAUGAGCCUUCUUGGAAGCAGAUCAUCCAGCCCCAGUCAAGCCUACACAUGGCUGGCAUCCCAGCCACCAACUGAGAGACCUUGAGCUAGAACCACUGAGAAAAGCUAACCAAGUGCAAAAGAAUUAUUUCUUAGCUUCUACAAAGAAA